CCUACGGGUGACUGCAGUGAGGAAUAUUGGUCAAUGGGCGCGAGCCUGAACCAGCCAAGUAGCGUGAAGGAUGACUGCCCUACGGGUUGUAAACUUCUUUUAUAAAGGAAUAAAAUGAGGCACGUGUGCCUUUUUGUAUGUACCUUAUGAAUAAGGAUCGGCUAACUCCGUGCCAGCAGCCGCGGUAAUACGGAGGAUCCGAGCGUUAUCCGGAUUUAUUGGGUUUAAAGGGAGCGUAGGUGGGUUGUUAAGUCAGUUGUGAAAGUUUGUGGCUCAACCGUAAAAUUGCAGUUGAAACUGGCAGUCUUGAGUGCGGUUGAGGUAGGCGGAAUUCGUGGUGUAGCGGUGAAAUGCUUAGAUAUCACGAAGAACUCCGAUUGCGAAGGCAGCUUACUACACUGCAACUGACACUGAUGCUCGAAAGCGUGGGUAUCAAACAGGAUUAGAUACCCCUGUAGUC
rnacentral:rRNA from 1 species